GCAAGGUGAGGAAAGUCCGGGCUUUACAGGGCAGGGUGCCGGAUAACGUCCGGCGGAGGCGACUCCCGGGAAAGUGCAACAGAAAGCAAACCGCCUGCAUUUGCAGGUAAGGGUGAAACGGCGGUGUAAGAGACCACCGCAUUUACGGUAACGUAAAUGGCAGUGUAAACCCCACCCAAAGCAAAACCAACAGAAAACGAUACGGCGGCCCGUCGUGUUUUCGGGUAGGUUGCGUUCUGCAGAUGUAAUGUCUGCAGAGGAGCCGUUUGGUAACAAACGGUCAAGAAAGAUGAUCAUCACGGUAAAUCCGUACAGAACCCGGCUUACAGUAUUACUCC
rnacentral:RNase_P_RNA from 1 species